rnacentral:misc_RNA from 1 species
UCAGGGCAUUCCUCUGGGUC